GAUGAACGCUGGCGGCGUGCCUAAUACAUGCAAGUCGAGCGAACGGACGAGAAGCUUGCUUCUCUGAUGUUAGCGGCGGACGGGUGAGUAACACGUGGAUAACCUACCUAUAAGACUGGGAUAACUUCGGGAAACCGGAGCUAAUACCGGAUAAUAUUUUGAACCGCAUGGUUCAAAAGUGAAAGACGGUCUUGCUGUCACUUAUAGAUGGAUCCGCGCUGCAUUAGCUAGUUGGUAAGGUAACGGCUUACCAAGGCAACGAUGCAUAGCCGACCUGAGAGGGUGAUCGGCCACACUGGAACUGAGACACGGUCCAGACUCCUACGGGAGGCAGCAGUAGGGAAUCUUCCGCAAUGGGCGAAAGCCUGACGGAGCAACGCCGCGUGAGUGAUGAAGGUCUUCGGAUCGUAAAACUCUGUUAUUAGGGAAGAACAUAUGUGUAAGUAACUGUGCACAUCUUGACGGUACCUAAUCAGAAAGCCACGGCUAACUACGUGCCAGCAGCCGCGGUAAUACGUAGGUGGCAAGCGUUAUCCGGAAUUAUUGGGCGUAAAGCGCGCGUAGGCGGUUUUUUAAGUCUGAUGUGAAAGCCCACGGCUCAACCGUGGAGGGUCAUUGGAAACUGGAAAACUUGAGUGCAGAAGAGGAAAGUGGAAUUCCAUGUGUAGCGGUGAAAUGCGCAGAGAUAUGGAGGAACACCAGUGGCGAAGGCGACUUUCUGGUCUGUAACUGACGCUGAUGUGCGAAAGCGUGGGGAUCAAACAGGAUUAGGUACCCUGGUAGUCCACGCCGUAAACGAUGAGUGCUAAGUGUUAGGGGGUUUCCGCCCCUUAGUGCUGCAGCUAACGCAUUAAGCACUCCGCCUGGGGAGUACGACCGCAAGGUUGAAACUCAAAGGAAUUGACGGGGACCCGCACAAGCGGUGGAGCAUGUGGUUUAAUUCGAAGCAACGCGAAGAACCUUACCAAAUCUUGACAUCCUUUGACAACUCUAGAGAUAGAGCUUUCCCCUUCGGGGGACAAAGUGACAGGUGGUGCAUGGUUGUCGUCAGCUCGUGUCGUGAGAUGUUGGGUUAAGUCCCGCAACGAGCGCAACCCUUAAGCUUAGUUGCCAUCAUUAAGUUGGGCACUCUAAGUUGACUGCCGGUGACAAACCGGAGGAAGGUGGGGAUGACGUCAAAUCAUCAUGCCCCUUAUGAUUUGGGCUACACACGUGCUACAAUGGACAAUACAAAGGGCAGCGAAACCGUGAGGUCAAGCAAAUCCCAUAAAGUUGUUCUCAGUUCGGAUUGUAGUCUGCAACUCGACUACAUGAAGCUGGAAUCGCUAGUAAUCGUAGAUCAGCAUGCUACGGUGAAUACGUUCCCGGGUCU
rnacentral:rRNA from 1 species